rnacentral:SRP_RNA from 1 species
GGGUAAGUCUUUUACGACCAGCUCCCUUUGAAUCCCCCAGGGUGGGAACGCAGCAAGGGUAUUAGGUUGAGCGGUGCGAUAAAAGGGGCUUGCCCAUU